AUGAUAAGGACAGCAGAGUGUCUCGGAUCUGUACUGAUUUUUCUGUUGAUUCUCCUCCAUAUCUCCCCUUCUGUAAUCUGUGUACUAGUUUCUCCUCGUCCCUAUACCUUAAUUUCUUCCUUUUUUGCAGUUUGUUUUUUUCUUUUUCGUUUUAGAUUUCCACCCCAUUCUUCUGUAAUUCGUUUUGGAUUUUAUAGCUUUUAG